AGCGAACGCUGGCGGCAGGCCUAACACAUGCAAGUCGAACGCGUGUAGCAAUACACGAGUGGCAGACGGGUGAGUAACACGUGGGAACGUGCCCUUCGGUUCGGAAUAACUCAGGGAAACUUGAGCUAAUACCGGAUACGCCCUUACGGGGAAAGAUUUAUCGCCGAUGGAUCGGCCCGCGUCUGAUUAGCUAGUUGGUGAGGUAACGGCUCACCAAGGCGACGAUCAGUAGCUGGUCUGAGAGGAUGAUCAGCCACACUGGGACUGAGACACGGCCCAGACUCCUACGGGAGGCAGCAGUGGGGAAUAUUGGACAAUGGGCGAAGGCCUGAUCCAGCCAUGCCGCGUGAGUGAUGAAGGCCCUAGGGUUGUAAAGCUCUUUCGGCGGGGACGAUAAUGACGGUACCCGCAGAAGAAGCCCCGGCUAACUUCGUGCCAGCCGCCGCAGUAACAC
rnacentral:rRNA from 1 species